AAAAUGAAGCCAUGCUACAAUAAUUAAUAGGUCCACAGUACGUGUUUGGCUACUGUGAAUGUCUAUGUUUCCAUUUUAUUAUUGAUGACGUUUUACAAGUGUUACAAGCAGGUAGUUCACAUUAUACACGAACUUGCAUUUUUUAUGCAGAGCCCUUCUCCUUAAUAAGAUUUGUCGAUAUAUGACGAAUGAGUUUAAUACCUCAAAGACUUUUGGAGUCAUGCUGCGGACACGAACAAGUAUAACAAAAAGUAAAAUUGGAGAUAAAUAUGGGAGGUAUGAUAACCUCUUGCCCAAUGGACUUCCUCUUAUUAAUAUAAGUCCAUAUUCCAAGUUUCAUUUAUAUUCCUUCAGUUCUUUACGAAUAAUGGUCUGGAGAAGCUGUUUAAUACAUACUGUAAAAAGAAAGGGAGAGGUAAUUUAGCUAUGAUAGAAGGUAGGAGUAUGGUUCUUGCGCACUAUAUUUGAGCAUAUUGCACUCUGUUUAUGCCUCAAGUUUUGUUGAAAUCCCAUAAGUUGUUCGGGGACAAUAAUAAACCAGUGAACACGAGCACAUUAACGCUAUUAAAGAUAGAUUACACUCAUCAAUUUACCAGAUCGCUUCCGAGCGUUCAUAAGCUCAAAAAGUUUUGAUCUGGCAUGCCAUCCGUACUUUUGGCACUUUGAUUUUGCUUGAUGAAUUAUGUUCAUAAGGAUUUUUUUUAACGAAAUAAUUUCUCUGUCUUUUCAGAUAUUUGCAUAUAAUGGAUGGAUUCAUAUAACCACUAUUCACUUUAUCCAGUGUGUAUCUAAUUGAUGUCAUGAGUAAGAGGCGUGACGAGCUAUUAAAGUUUCUUCUAUAGCGUUAAAUUUUGAUAAACGAAAAGGACUGUGUUAUUCUGUAUAACAAAUAAAUUAAAGCUGCGUUUAAAGUCUAUAUUUUCGCUGUGCAAUGGCUUUAUAAAUGAUACUAAGGACAGUGAUAAUAAUAGUUUAAGACAAAAGACAAACUUGCAAAAUGAAUCAAAGUUAUAUGUGCUUUGUGUUUUUGCAUCUAAUUUUCAUAUCAACAUGCGGUUGUGAGAAGCCUGAUGGCAAUGUCAUGGCAAUCGGGAUUAACAAUGGAAAGGUAAAUUUAAAAGAAGAGAAAAGUGAAAUUAAUUGUCGAUUAGUGGAAACAUUUGGUGUUUUUAACAUCUGAUAUUUGCAUAUAACGGAUGGAUUCAUAUAACCACUAUUCACUUUAUCCAGUGUGUAUCUAAUUGAUGUCAUGAGUAAGAGGCGUGACGAGCUAUUAAAGUUUCUUCUAUAGCGUUAAAUUUUGAUAAACGAAAAGGACUGUGUUAUUCUGUAUAACAAAUAAAUUAAAGCUGCGUUUAAAGUCUAUAUUUUCGCUGUGCAAUGGCUUUAUAAAUGAUACUAAGGACAGUGAUAAUAAUAGUUUAAGACAAAAGACAAACUUGCAAAAUGAAUCAAAGUUAUAUGUGCUUUGUGUUUUUGCAUCUAAUUUUCGUAUCAACAUGCGGUUGUGAGAAGCCUGAUGGCAAUGUCAUGGCAAUCGGGAUUAACAAUGGAAAGG